rnacentral:lncRNA from 1 species
GUUCAUUACUUCUACACUCACCUCGGGGUAUAGAGAUCUAUAUUUCACAAGAUAUACAAAUACAAUAUCAUAUUAAAAUUCGAGAUCCUUGGGGAAAAAAAAUUAUAUGAUUUGACCAACUUGGUCAAUGCUCAAUGCAGUACUUUAAAAGAUGCCUAAAAUAGUUCAACCGUUUUCAUUGAUAAUUGUAAAAUGUGUCAAAUUUAGUUUGAAUCUACCUAUUCCGAGGGUUGAUACAUUGUGUUUAUUAGUAAAAUCAACAGAAGCACAAAAUGAACAACAUUAAAGGUAACAUAAUUUUUUUUUAAAUAUUGAUUUUAUUAUUAUAUCCCCCAUAUAUUUUUGUCCAAAUUUGAUAUAAACUUUCCCACAGCUUUUGAUCGAGUUUAAUUCUUUAUAGUUUUAUCCUAUCCAUUUCCUACCAACUACAUAUUUGCACAACAAUAAUUGAUUAUAAAAAAACUACAUAAGAGGGUUAUGUAAUCUGAA